rnacentral:rRNA from 1 species
UACAGAGGUCUCAAGCGUUGUUCGGAUUCAUUGGGCGUAAAGGGUGCGUAGGCGGCGCGGUAAGUCAGGUGUGAAAUCUCGGGGCUUAACUCCGAAACUGCAUUUGAUACUGGCGUGCUUGAGGACUGGAGAGGAGACUGGAAUUUACGGUGUAGCAGUGAAAUGCGUAGAGAUCGUAAGGAAGACCAGUGGCGAAGGCGGGUCUCUGGACAGUUCCUGACACUGAGGCACGAAGGCCAGGGGAGCAAACGGG